GAAAUGCGAUAAGUAAUGUGAAUUGCAGAAUUCAGUGAAUCAUCGAAUCUUUGAACGCACAUUGUGCCCCCUGGUAUUCCGGGGGGCAUGCCUGUUCGAGCGUCAUUUCACCACUCAAGCCUCGCUUGGUAUUGGGCGACGCGGUCCGCCGCGCGCCUCAAAUCGACCGGCUGGGUCUUCCGUCCCCUCAGCGUUGUGGAAACUAUUCGCUAAAGGGUGCCGCGGGAGGUCACGCCGCAAAACAACCCCAUUUCUAAGGUUGACCUCGGAUCAGGUAGGGAUACCCGCUGAACUUAAGC
rnacentral:misc_RNA from 1 species